rnacentral:rRNA from 1 species
AUGCAGAAGAUAUAUGUAGAUGAAUAUCUUUUUUUGGAACGUCUUGGUUCUGAGGUGACCAAUGAAGAGAUCAGAUAUCGGGCUUCUUUUCGAGGUCAAACGCUAACUCGAACCGUUCGCGGAAUGAUGUAUUACAGAACAGAAUUGAGACUACAAGCUUUCUUAGACAGGACAAAUGGCCAAGGAUUAUAUGAAGGACUUAUAGCGAUCGAUGGAGGACAAAAUAAGAGCAAUGACGACCAGUCAUUGUCAGCUGAAUAAGACGCGCUUGCAGAUAUGAAAUUUUCAUAAGUCAUCUUAUGUCAAAGUUGGGAACACAAAUCUAAUGAUAACCCUCGUGCUCAAGGCAUUAUAAAUUUGAUGUCAAGACUCCCUGUCUAGUGUGUUGCCUACAAUGAAGAGAAGGAAAUUAUAACAGGAAACAUAAUUCAUACAACUUAUUCCUUAGCCUUAAUAAAAGCAGAAAAUUAUUUAGACCAGGAGACUUGCCGUAUAAAUCUGCCUGACCCAUCCAUUAUUGGAGAAGAGAAGCCUAAAAAUCAAAGCCUUGCGGUCGGAUUUACCCGAGGAGAGGCCCUUCAAACCAUUAAUUGCUAUCAAGAAAAUUAUCUGCAAAGAGCUUACGAAAUGAGAAAUAUCCUCGAAGAGUUUGUUAAGCACCCUAGAGAUCAAUCUCCAACAAUCCUUGGGCUUGGAGAACAUAUCUUCACUUGAAGUAUUUCAUUAGUUGUCGGAUUCAUAUCAUACCAAGAAACAUCAUUUGUUACCAUUGGAUAGAGAUUCCUCGCUAAUCCCUUGAGGGUAUAAUUUCACUAUGAUCAUCCGGAUAUAUUUGAUUGGGUAUUUUUUACAGAAGGUUGUAUAAGCAAAACCUCUAAAAUAAUAAACUUAAGUGAGGAUGUAUUUUCUCGUUAUAAUUCCAUAUCGCGUUGCGGAAAUAUAACUUAUAAUGAGUGCAUUCAAGGUGGCAAAGGGCGUGAUGUUGGCCUUAAUUAGAUAUUAAUAUUUGAAGCCAAAGUUGCACAUGGCGAUGGUGAACAUACAAUUAGCCGUGAAAUAUAGAUGUUAAGGCAAGGAUUUUACCUUCCCCGGAUGCUUUCAUUUUAUUUCAUCAUAGUGGGGUUCAACUUCAACAACCUAGUAUGUUCUCUCCCUCCCUCCUUCUCUUGUCCAUUGCAUUGUAACUCCACAUUAGUCAAAUCCAAUCUUUUAUGUGGAUUAGUAUAUCACCAACGACGAGUCAUAUUAUUCUAA